UACAGAGGUCCCAAGCGUUGUUCGGAUUCACUGGGCGUAAAGCGUCCGCAGGUGGCAGUUCAAGUCUGCUGUCAAAGACCGGGGCUUAACUUCGGAAAGGCAGUGGAAACUGAACAGCUAGAGUACGGUAGGGGCAGAGGGAAUUCCUGGUGUAGCGGUGAAAUGCGUAGAUAUCAGGAAGAACAUCGGUGGCGAAGGCGCUCUGCUGGACCAUAACUGACACUCAGGGACGAAAGCUAGGGGAGCGAAUGGG
rnacentral:rRNA from 1 species